AAAACUGAGGAAGAAAACUGACAAGGUUUUCAAGGGAAUUUCCAGGUCACCCAGAGAACUCGCCUUGCCUUGUUCUACUUCCUACAAGUCUCUAAGCACUUCAUGCUUUACUAGAAUCUUGUAAAUACAAAAAAAAAAAAAAAAAAAGAAGACACACAACAAGUCAACAACGUAACAAUGUUUGGCAUCACUAAAAAGAUGGUACUUUGGUGAAAGGCUGAGAAUCUACGAUGGCCAGUGAGCUGGUAUGAUUCAUACGAAGUUCCAUGUCUCACUUAUCUCUCCAAAUCAUGGUUCUUCACGAGGGAGCCCUUCUUCAGGCUGUUCUUCCGCUCCACGUAGUUGGACGGUACAUAGCCCGUCCUGUUGGCCGCGUUCCUCACCCGCCACCACGUCUUGGAGUCGUCCAGCAACCACAGCCGCUCGUUCUUCUUGAUGUCCAGCUCCUGGUCCUGCUGGGCGGUGUAGUCCCACUUGGCUAUCACAAUAACUUCUUCUGUCAUCUUUCAUGGAGUCCUUCUGCCAGCAAAACAUUUGGAGAUGCUCAUUAGAGAACUACCCGGACACUUCAUCCUUUGCACCAACU
ensembl:lncRNA novel transcript